UCUCCUGGAAAAGGGUGGUAAUGCCGGAUGCUCCAGUUGAUCGCAUGGUCUUCUGGGAAAGCCUUUGCGGCAUGGGAUGGGGUCGCGUCCUAUCAGCUUGAUGGCGGGGUAACGGCCCACCAUGGCUUCGACGGGUAGCCGGCCUGAGAGGGCGACCGGCCACAUUGGGACUGAGAUACGGCCCAGACUCCUACGGGAGGCAGCAGUGGGGAAUAUUGCACAAUGGGCGCAAGCCUGAUGCAGCGACGCCGCGUGAGGGAUGGAGGCCUUCGGGUUGUAAACCUCUUUUGUUAGGGAGCAAGGCAUUUUGUGUUGAGUGUACCUUUCGAAUAAGCACCGGCUAACUACGUGCCAGCAGCCGCGGUAAUACGUAGGGUGCAAGCGUUAUCCGGAAUUAUUGGGCGUAAAGGGCUCGUAGGCGGUUCGUCGCGUCCGGUGUGAAAGUCCAUCGCUUAACGGUGGAUCCGCGCCGGGUACGGGCGGGCUUGAGUGCGGUAGGGGAGACUGGAAUUCCCGGUGUAACGGUGGAAUGUGUAGAUAUCGGGAAGAACACCA
rnacentral:rRNA from 1 species